AUGAGAACACAGUCCAUACGCUACUGGGAUUUCCUGAAGUUCUGGGGCCCCAGCAAGUAUGGGAAGGAAGCGCCCGCCGGUGAGCGAGCCCGGAGGGAACAAACAGAAGAUGGCCGGGCCCCGAAGAGCCCCACACUCUGUGUUCUUGGAACCCAGAUGCAGGAGCUGGAGUGUGUGCAGCCAACAGCCAGGAGGCGAGGUGUCAGCCGCCAGGAGAAAACCGCUCGCCUCCAGCUCCCGGCACGCCGCCCGCAGCUCCGUGAAGGGUCUCUCGGCCCACGCGCCUCUGGAAUGGAAAACAGAUUGGAAGGCAGGCGCAGGCUGCCAGCUGGGUGCUGUUCAGACAUCUGCCGGCCAUCAGGAGCCACCUCGUGUUCCCGGUCCUCUCGCAGCUCGCUGCACGAGAACAGGAGCGAGUUUCUCCAGGGACCACGGGCCUGUGAGUGCACAGAGUGUGCUGAGCGGCUUGCUGUGGGAGGCCUGGCUCAGCCUCGGGGGACAGCAGGGCACUCAGCCCACCGACCCCUUUUUUCAGGCAUGGAUGACCUCUCUGUGCUUCCACUGGUCCAAGCUGGUGAGGGGUUUCAAACGCUACCCACACUGCCAUCUCUGGCUGUCCUUGUCGGCCAAGAAAAUUCCGUACGAAAGGGACUUCAAGAGCUCAUGAAAAUGAGAUUAGAAGCCCGUCCAGCUCCCUGGUCUGCUACUAAGAGGGGCGCCGUGAGAAGGGCGGGCCAUCCCUUCCCAGUGGAGUGGCGGUGCAGUGGCCAGCAGCCCGGGACUCUGACUGCUACACCGCAAAGCCCGAAAGAUGAAGAGAAACCGCUUCGCAGGCGCAGGCGACGCUGGGCUCUGCCUUCCCUGCAAACCCACGAGGCGGCUUUCACGCCUGACUUUCGAACGCCUCGACUGAGAGGGAGCAGGAUCUGUGAUGACUCAGCACUUUUGUUCUAAGUACUGCGGGGGGGGGGGGGCAGACUCUGUGGAUGACUGAGCACCUUCGAUGCAUUUUCCGUGACUCCUGGGCGGUGAGGAUGGAGAGGCGGGAGCACCUGCAGGAGGAGCCCGGCUCGCUGCUGCGCCCUGAGAUGAUGUUUACUCCUGGCGUUGCCAGACAGCAAGUGCCUGCCCCACACUGCGGGGACAACCUAGUUAGCUUCCAUUUUCGGUCACAGAACAUUCUAUUGUGACCAUUCGACUCGUAAUAUAGAAUAAUAUAUGAUUAAGUGGUGUGUUGUUAUAUUUGAUAACAAGUCAACGUAUUCCCCAGUAUCUCUUGUCCCACCCAGAAAGAAAACAACACCACAUUGCUAUAGUUAGACCCCCACCCUCGUUGCUGGUUUGGAUGUCACCACACACAUGCUCUUAAACACUUACACACACACGCACACACACACACACACGGACUCAGGACUGGCAUUUGCUUGCAAAAUGGAGUCACAUGAUGGGCAUUUUGCACCUGCUUUUCAUCAGCUCUUCCCGUGUCGGCGUAUGUAGGACCCGGUCCGCUGGAAGCGCCACUCAGCAUUCCCUUGCCUUUCUGUACCCCCAAAGUAUCUAUUGUUGGAGAGCUUGAGUCAGAAACAAAAUGUGUUCUUUAGACCUUUUAUCCCUUCUCUCAGAACAUCCCAGAAGCCUUGGAAAAGACAGAAGUGGCUGGAAACCCACACAAAGGCAAAGGGAAAAGCAAACACAGCUCCUGGCUGGGAGGCGAGCCGAGCCGCCUGGGAAUGUCCGGCCCCGUGGGGUGCUGGUCGACCCUGUGAGAUCUCAGGGCUCGGGGAGUUCUGGUUGAAAAUAGAACGGCUUCCGCUUUAUCUUCAGAUAUCAGACCUAGAAUGGUGUCAAGACGUGGCUGCAGACACACUUCAGACGGCAAGCCCGGAGGUGUCCACAUGCUGUGACAGCUCUAUUCUGGUGCCGUGCACGCAUCCCAGACAGACACCAUGGGGCCAACAGCAGCAGAACGGGGGGGCGGAGUGGCGACUGGGUUUCCUUCUGGCGC
rnacentral:lncRNA from 1 species